rnacentral:rRNA from 1 species
UACGGAGGAGGCAAGCGUUAUCCGGAAUUAUUGGGCGUAAAGCGUCCGCAGGUGGCAGUUCAAGUCUGCUGUCAAAGACCGGGGCUUAACUUCGGAAAGGCAGUGGAAACUGAACAGCUAGAGUAUGGUAGGGGCAGAGGGAAUUCCUGGUGUAGCGGUGAAAUGCGUAGAGAUCAGGAGGAACACCGGUGGCGAAGGCGGGUCUCUGGGCCGAUACUGACGCUGAGGAGCGAAAGCGUGGGGAGCGAACAGG